rnacentral:rRNA from 1 species
GAUGAACGCUGGCGGCGUGCCUAAUACAUGCAAGUCGAGCGAAUGGAUUAAGAGCUUGCUCUUAUGAAGUUAGCGGCGGACGGGUGAGUAACACGUGGGUAACCUGCCCAUAAGACUGGGAUAACUCCGGGAAACCGGGCUAAUACCGGAUAACAUUUUGAACCGCAUGGUUCGAAAUUGAAAGGCGGCUUCGGCUGGCACUUAUGGAUGGACCCGCGUCGCAUUAGCUAGUUGGUGAGGUAACGGCUCACCAAGGCAACGAUGCGUAGCCGACCUGAGAGGGUGAUCGGCCACACUGGGACUGAGACACGGCCCAGACUCCUACGGGAGGCAGCAGUAGGGAAUCUUCCGCAAUGGACGAAAGUCUGACGGAGCAACGCCGCGUGAGUGAUGAAGGCUUUCGGGUCGUAAAACUCUGUUGUUAGGGAAGAACAAGUGCUAGUUGAAUAAGCUGGCACCUUGACGGUACCUAACCAGAAAGCCACGGCUAACUACGUGCCAGCAGCCGCGGUAA